rnacentral:lncRNA from 1 species
CGACAUAGUAAAAACUAUCCUGCUCUACAAACGGGUAAAUCGGUGUAAAUGGCUUGGCCUUUGUGAAUCGAAAAUGGUUUUGUAUCUUGAACUUUCCCUGGGAAGGAGCUUCUGCGUUUGGCAUCUCUGGGCGAAAAGGACAUGUGAAACAAUCUCAAGACAGGAGCGACCGCUCGACAACAGCGAAAAGGGCGACGUAAAUAUGGAGGAAAGCAGCCUCACCGCCUACACACCCUAGUCAACACUCCACCUUCACUCUCACUCCAUCACAUUUACAUCUAUUUAUUUUGCAGACGCUUUUGUCUAAAGUGACCUCCAAUGAACUCUAUGUAGUGUCAUCAGCCCACACACCUUAUUCACCGCAGUGACUUACACUGCUAGAUACACUGCUUACACUGAGUCACUCAUCCAUACGUCAGUGGAACACACACUCUCUAUCACUCACACACACGUCAUGAACAGCAUGUCUUCGGAGUGUGGGAGGAAACCAGAGCACCGAGAGGAAACCCACACAGACACAGGGAGAACAUGCAAACUCCACACAGGCUGAGCAGGGAUCGAACCCACGUCCUCUCACACCACCCAGGUGCCGUGAGACAGCAGCGCUACUCGCCGUGCUGCUCCCGAUGGGCGGGGCUUAUCGGUCUGAAAAACGAAAGCUGCUCUGCCAAAGUUUGGUCGAUACUGAGCGCGCCGAUUGCAGCAUGAGUAUUAAUAACACAAAGAAAGCCCAGGUGUGUGUUCUGUCCUCACCUGCCCGCAGGCUUUCUCGGAAGGUUCUGGACUGCGUGUCGGGCCGCCGACGGGAGCCGAACCCAAUCCGUCUGGCCCGGGGCGAGAAACUCGAGCUCCGCUGCGCUGAGAUAGGAAACAAAAGGAAUAAAAGCCAAAUGUCCUGGAAUCUUGACCUCACAUGCAUUCACUUCCUGAACCACAGGCAAACCAUCAUGUCUCUCACUCUCUCUCUCCUUCACACACACACACACACACACACACACACACACACACACACACACACACACACACACACACACACACACACACACGCAUGUGUGCGUGCGACUAUACUCUACACAGCUACACACACGACUAGAAAUGCAUGGCUGCGCCGUGCACAUAAACACACAUCCCCGCACACAAACACACGCAUACACACACUCCAACGGCUCCACGCAGAAACAUAAACACACCCGAGUGUAAGGAUGCCCCGUAGGAGGCUGUGCCCACACUCCGGUAUUUAUGUACAGUAAAAUCCCAGUAAAACCUCUUCCUGGAAAUCUAGUUGGUGGGACACAGGAAGGGGACUGUCGAGCACUGAGAGCCCUCUGUUCCCUAAGCCUGCGUGUGUGUGUGUGUGUGUGUGUGUGUGUGUGUGUGUGUGGGGGGGGGGGGGGGGGGGACAUUGCUCAGCCACUUUGGGAAACGGCAGUUAAUGCGGAAAAAGCCUGGUGAUCCGACACACACACACACACACACACACACACACACACAGCAGCGCAGCCGAAUCCAACACCCAGACACACAUGCAGACCCCCCCCCCCAACCCCCACAAAACCACAGUUCACAUCUGGCAAGCCGACGCCGCUCGAAAACGCAGUCAGUUGCUGCCGACCGGCAGCCCGUUCUCAUCACACUGAUUAAAUGAUUAAUAUUUAUUUAUGUUUCUGAUGGUUUUUCUCCACACUCGGUUACACUGUGCAGCUGCAUACAGUGAUUUACCCAUUCGUACACCUGGGUAAUUUUUACCCUAUCACUCUAGUGUAACUUCCUCGAUCAGGUACCGGAGCAGGAGGUGAGGUUCCGACCUGGGC